rnacentral:misc_RNA from 1 species
UCUCCGUUGGUGAACCAGCGGAGGGAUCAUUACCGAGUUUACAACUCCCAAACCCAAUGUGAACCAUACCAAACUGUUGCCUCGGCGGGGUCACGCCCCGGGUGCGUCGCAGCCCCGGAACCAGGCGCCCGCCGGAGGGACCAACCAAACUCUUUCUGUAGUCCCCUCGCGGACGUUAUUUUUACAGCUCUGAGCAAAAAUUCAAAAUGAAUCAAAACUUCCAACAACGGAUCUCUUGGUUCUG